rnacentral:rRNA from 1 species
AGUGAACGCUGGCGGUAGGCCUAACACAUGCAAGUCGAACGGCAGCACAGUAAUAGCUUGCUCUUACGGGUGGCGAGUGGCGGACGGGUGAGGAAUACAUCGGAAUCUACUUGUGCGUGGGGGAUAACGUAGGGAAACUUACGCUAAUACCGCAUACGACCUACGGGUGAAAGCAGGGGAUCUUCGGACCUUGCGCGAUUGAAUGAGCCGAUGUCGGAUUAGCUAGUUGGCGGGGUAAAGGCCCACCAAGGCGACGAUCCGUAGCUGGUCUGAGAGGAUGAUCAGCCACACUGGAACUGAGACACGGUCCAGACUCCUACGGGAGGCAGCAGUGGGGAAUAUUGGACAAUGGGCGAAAGCCUGAUCCAGCAAUACCGCGUGGGUGAUGAAGGCCUUCGGGUUGUAAAGCCCUUUUGUCGGGAAAGAAAAGCAGUAGGUUAAUACCCCGCUGUUCUGACGGUACCCAAAGAAUAAGCACCGGCUAACUUCGUG